rnacentral:rRNA from 1 species
AUUGAACGCUGGCGGCAUGCUUUACACAUGCAAGUCGAACGGCAGCGCGGGCUUCGGCCUGGCGGCGAGUGGCGAACGGGUGAGUAAUGCAUCGGAACGUGCCCAGUAGUGGGGGAUAGCCCGGCGAAAGCCGGAUUAAUACCGCAUACGACCUGAGGGUGAAAGCGGGGGACCGAAAGGCCUCGCGCUAUUGGAGCGGCUGUUGUCGGAUUAGCUAGUUGGUGGGGUAAAGGCUUACCAAGGCGCCGAUCCGUAGCUGGUCUGAGAGGACGACCAGCCACACUGGGACUGAGACACGGCCCAGACUCCUACGGGAGGCAGCAGUGGGGAAUUUUGGACAAUGGGGGCAACCCUGAUCCAGCCAUGCCGCGUGCGGGAAGAAGGCCUUCGGGUUGUAAACCGCUUUUGUUCGGGAAGAAAUCCUCUGGGCUAAUACCCCGGGGGGAUGACGGUACCGGAAGAAUAAGCACCGGCUAACUACGUG